rnacentral:rRNA from 1 species
AUUGAACGCUGGCGGAAUGCUUUACACAUGCAAGUCGAACGAUGAACCUUAGCUUGCUAAGGGGAUUAGUGGCGAACGGGUGAGUAAUACAUCGGAACGUGCCUUGUAAUGGGGGAUAACUAGUCGAAAGAUUAGCUAAUACCGCAUACGCCCUGAGGGGGAAAGUAGGGGAUCUUCGGACCUUACGUUAUAAGAGCGGCCGAUAUCUGAUUAGCUAGUUGGUGGGGUAAUGGCCUACCAAGGCGACGAUCAGUAGCUGGUCUGAGAGGACGACCAGCCACACUGGAACUGAGACACGGUCCAGACUCCUACGGGAGGCAGCAGUGGGGAAUUUUGGACAAUGGGCGCAAGCCUGAUCCAGCCAUUCCGCGUGAGUGAAGAAGGCCUUCGGGUUGUAAAGCUCUUUCGCAAGGGAAGAAAACUUACCAUCGAAUAAAUGGUGAGGCUGACGGUACCUUGAUAAGAAGCACCGGCUAACUACGUG